CUUUCUUCGCAACUGCUUCUAAAAGUUAUUUCUACAAAACUGAAGAGCGUCAAGCCGGGUGCGGCUACACGCGAGUGUGGACGAACCGCCGCUGGAGUACGGAACACGCGGAGCGCACUUUUUGCGGGGACGGGUCUGUGCAGAAACGACCGUGACGUAUCGGCCAUUCCCGAGCGCUGCUGUCCUCGUUCCCGGCCGAGUAGCUCUCUUUUGAGCCUGUUUUCAGAUCGACGGAUCUGACGCAACAGAUCAUAAGCAAAUCUUAAGAUGCAUUGUACGUGUCAUAUUUAAAUAUUCUUAUUUCUAUAAUAUGAUAUUAAUAAUUUCCAGUUUUGAAAUAUGUAAAAUCAUGCUUUAUAAAAAUAUUAAGCUACAAAGCAAUUAAGAAACAAAAAAGUCUACAAUUUUUAAUUAUGAAAAUAUGAAUAUUUAAUGAUUAAAAUAUUUUGUUCUCAAUAUUUUCAUUUAAGAAAAUAUUGAUUAUAAUUUUUUAUAUUAAAAUAACAACUAUUUUGUAAAAUAAUGAACAAAAGAAAAAGAAAAUGAUUACUACAUAUUAUUUAUUUUCCAAAUAUUUUAUUGUAAAACAAAUGUAAAAAGUUUACAUAUUGUAAUAAAUGUUACGAACGUUUAAUAACACAAAUAUUAAUUAUAACAGAACUUUUUAUAAAUUAAACGUAACUGUUUUCCUUGUCCACUAUAUUUGAAUUACUAUAGCGUCGAAGUUUCGAAAUCUGUUAAAAAAUAAAUUAUGAUUAAAUUAUUAUUUUUAAAUAAUUUAUUAUUAAAAUAUAAUUUUAUAUGUACCAAAUUUAUCGGUUUUACUUUCUGAACAAUUUUAUUAUUAUCUCUUAAUGGACUUCGUUGUAUAUUAUUUCCGUUAUUUUUAAAAGAAAUUGGUGAAUUUUUUUGCGAAUUUGAUUGUUUAUAUAUUGAACGUUUUGGAGAUUCAUAUAAACGUUCAUAUUGAUUAAUUUCAAACGAAGAAUUUAAACUUUUGUUUAUAGGUGGAGUCUGUAUUUUUGGAAUAUUAGAUUCUGUUGUUCGGCGUUUAGGUGUUGUUUUCUUUGGAGAUGGUAAUUUAGUAUUUCUAGAAGAUAAAUUAUAAUUAUAAUAAAUUUUCCUUAUUAUAUAUUGUUAUUAUAUUGUUAUAAUAUUUUUAGAUAUUAUAAAGUUAAAUUUACCUUUGUAAAUUAUUACUCAUUCCAUUGCAAUUAUUAAUAUUUAUGCGUGUAGUUACAGGUGAAAUAUCACAGGAAAAAUUACGUUUUUUAGGACUAUUAAUUAUUUGUGAUUGUGCUUUUUGUAUUUUAGAAUUUUGAGCAUCUGGAGUUGACGAAGCAACUGGUUUCGCAGAUCGUGAUUUUUUUGCUAAAAGUUCAUUGUUUGUGGAAUUAGGAGUACUACUAAUUAUUUUAUGAGACUGAGGUGGUGUUGUAGUUCCAAUAGAUGAAGUUAAUUUUUUAUUAAUAGUUUCUGUAAAAAAAAUACAUUAAAAAGAAAAUAUAAAUUUUA